rnacentral:sRNA from 1 species
GGGAUUCCUUAUCUGUCUAAUCGUUGAUUUGUCUGGAACCUGUCCCAUUGAGUUCUUAUUGAAGAGCUCAAUAAGACAGGUUCUGCGUUUAGUUGCCGCGCUCGAAAAACUG